UGAGUGAUAAGAUCCAUAGUCGAAAGGGAAACAGCCCAGACCACCAGCUAAGGUCCCAAAAUAUAUGUUAAGUGGAAAAGGAUGUGGGGUUGCACAGACAACUAGGAUGUUGGCUUAGAAGCAGCCAUCAUUUAAAGAGUGCGUAAUAGCUCACUAGUCGAGUGACCCUGCGCCGAAAAUGUACCGGGGCUAAACAUAUUACCGAAGCUGUGGAGUACACCUUUAGGUGUAUUGGUAGGAGAGCGUUCUAAGGGC
rnacentral:rRNA from 1 species